rnacentral:rRNA from 1 species
CGGGACGGGGGAGUAAUGCUUGGGAAUCUAGCUUAUGGAGGGGGGUAACUACGGGAAACUGUAGCUAAUACCGCGUAAUAUCGAAAGAUUAAAGUGUGGGACCUUCGGGCCACAUGCCAUAAGAUGAGCCCAAGUGGGAUUAGGUAGUUGGUGAGGUAAAGGCUCACCAAGCCGACGAUCUCUAGCUGGUCUGAGAGGAUGACCAGCCACACUGGGACUGAGACACGGCCCAG